UACAGAGGGUGCAAGCGUUAAUCGGAAUUACUGGGCGUAAAGCGUGCGUAGACGGUUACAUAAGUCGGGUGUGAAAGCCCCGGGCUCAACCUGGGAAUUGCAUUCGAGACUGCGUAGCUAGGGUGCGGAAGAGGGAAGCGGAAUUUCCGGUGUAGCGGUGAAAUGCGCAGAUAUCAGGAAGAACACCAAUGGCGAAAGCAGCUCUCUGGGACGGUACUGACGCUGAGACGCGAAAGCGUGGGGAGCGAACAGG
rnacentral:rRNA from 1 species